rnacentral:rRNA from 1 species
ACUGCUCAGUAACACGUGGACAACCUGCCCUUAGGUUGGGUAUAAACCCGGGAAACUGGGUAUAAUACCCGAUAGGUCUCGAUUGCUGGAAUGCAUCGAGAUUUAAAGCUCCGGCGCCUAAGGAUGGGUCUGCGGCCUAUCAGGUAGUAGUGGGUGUAGCGUACCUACUAGCCUACGACGGGUACGGGUUGUGAGAGCAAGAGCCCGGAGAUGGAUUCUGAGACACGAAUCCAGGCCCUACGGGGUGCAGCAGGCGCGAAAACUUUACAAUGCUGGCAACAGCGAUAAGGGAACCUCGAGUGCCAGGUUACAAAUCUGGCUGUCGAGAUGCCUAAAAAGCAUUUCAUAGCAAGGGCCGGGCAAGACCGGUGCCAGCCGCCGCGGUAACACCGGCGGCUCGAGUGGUAACCGUUAUUAUUGGGUCUAAAGGGUCUGUAGCCGGCCGGAUAAGUCUCUUGAGAAAUCUGGCAGCUUAACUGUCAGGCUUUCAGGAGAUACUGUCUGGCUCGAGGCCGGGAGAGGUGAGAGGUACUUCAGGGGUAGGGGUGAAAUCUUGUAAUCCUUGAAGGACCACCAGUGGCGAAGGCGUCUCACCAGAACGGACCUGACGGCAGGGGACGAAAGCUAGGGGCACGAACCGGAUUAGAUACCCGGGUAGUCCUAGCCGUAAACGAUACUCGCUAGGUGUCGGCCACGGUGCGACCGUUGUCGGUGCCGUAGGGAAGCCGUGAAGCGAGCCACCUGGGAAGUACGGCCGCAAGGCUGAAACUUAAAGGAAUUGGCGGGGGAGCAC